UACGUAGGGGGCAAGCGUUAUCCGGAUUUACUGGGUGUAAAGGGAGCGCAGACGGUUCAGUAAGUCAGAAGUGAAAGCCCCGGGCUUAACUCGGGGACUGCUUUUGAAACUAUUGAACUAGAGUACUGGAGGGGCAGGCGGAAUUCCUGGUGUAGCGGUGAAAUGCGUAGAUAUCAGGAGGAACACCGGUGGCGAAGGCGGCCUGCUGGACAGUAACUGACGUUGAGGCUCGAAAGCGUGGGGAGCAAAC
rnacentral:rRNA from 1 species